GACCCCCAACUAAGUUUGAUACGUUCACUGAAAGUUUUAGGUGUGGUAAUGUUCCUUUUUCUGUAGGUGAACAUGCGGAAGGAUCAUUACCACACAUAAAAACUUUCCACGUGAACCGUAUCAAAACUUAGUUGGGGGUCUCUUUCGGCGGCGGCUGCUGGCUUCAUUGCUGGCGGCUGCUGUUGGGAGAGCUCUAUCAUGGCGAGCGUUUGGGCUUCGGUCUGAACUAGUAGCUUUUUUAAACCCAUUCUUUAUAACUGAUUAUACUGUAGGGACGAAAGUCUCUGCUUUUAACUAGAUAGCAACUUUCAGCAGUGGAUGUCUAGGCUCGCACAUCGAUGAAGAACGCUGCGAACUGCGAUACGUAAUGCGAAUUGCAGGAUUCAGUGAGUCAUCGAAAUUUUGAACGCAUAUUGCACUUCCGGGUUAGUCCUGGGAGUAUGCCUGUAUCAGUGUCCGUACAUCAAACUUGGUUUUCUUCCUUCCGUGUAGUCGGUGGUGGAUGUGCCAGAUGUGAAGUGUCUUGCGGCUGGUCUUCGGAUCGGCUGUGAGUCCUUUGAAAUGUACUGAACUGUACUUCUCUUUGCUCCAAAAGCGUGGCGUUGCUGAUUGUGGAGGCUGCUUGCGUAGCCAGUCUGGCGACCAGUUUGUCUGCUGUGGCGUUAAUGGAGGAGUGUUCGAUUCGCGGUAUGGUUGGCUUCGGCUGAACAGACGCUUAUUGAAUAUUUCUUCAGCUGUGGUGGUAUGAUUGGUGAACCGUAGCUAUGUGAGCUUGGCUUUUGAAUUGGCUUUGCUGUUGCGAAGUAGAGUGGCGGCUUCGGCUGUCGAGGGUCGAUCCAUUUGGGAACUUGUGUAUGCUUCGGCAUGCAUCUCAAUGACC
rnacentral:rRNA from 1 species